rnacentral:pre_miRNA from 1 species
GUGUGUCUUCCUCUGGAAGCUGGUUUCACAUGGUGGCUUAGAUUUUUCCAUCUUUGUAUCUAGCACCAUUUGAAAUCAGUGUUCUAGGAGCAAGAAUUACA